rnacentral:misc_RNA from 1 species
GUAAGUUUCUUAAUUUUCCGGUUAUAGUAGAGUUGAGUAAUGAUGAAAGGACGUUGAAGUUGAUCUAACUAAGAAUUUUCUGGGAAAAUUUAAGCGACCCUUUUGUCAAAGUGGAAAUUUUUGUAAUGAGGAUUGGUAAAAGUUUAAACUUUAAACACUGGGAGGAUUGGAGCAAGCCCCAGCAACCUUAGUUAAAUAUUUGCAUCGAGAUUUGUUCAAUGUCAAUUAAGCUAUACACAUGAUUGAAAUUGAAAUGAUGAGCAUGUUAGAUUUUAUACUAAUUUUGGUGUUUAGUUUACAGUAGUUGCAUAUAGG